rnacentral:rRNA from 1 species
GAUGAACGCUGGCGGCGUGCCUAAUACAUGCAAGUCGAGCGAACGGACGAGAAGCUUGCUUUUCUGAUGUUAGCGGCGGACGGGUGAGUAACACGUGGAUAACCUACCUAUAAGACUGGGAUAACUUCGGGAAACCGGAGCUAAUACCGGAUAAUAUUUUGAACCGCAUGGUUCAAAAGUGAAAGACGGUCUUGCUGUCACUUAUAGAUGGAUCCGCGCUGCAUUAGCUAGUUGGUAAGGUAACGGCUUACCAAGGCAACGAUGCAUAGCCGACCUGAGAGGGUGAUCGGCCACACUGGAACUGAGACACGGUCCAGACUCCUACGGGAGGCAGCAGUAGGGAAUCUUCCGCAAUGGGCGAAAGCCUGACGGAGCAACGCCGCGUGAGUGAUGAAGGUCUUCGGAUCGUAAAACUCUGUUAUUAGGGAAGAACAUAUGUGUAAGUAACUGUGCACAUCUUGACGGUACCUAAUCAGAAAGCCACGGCUAACUACG